rnacentral:rRNA from 1 species
UAAUGUUGAAAAAUUAGCGGAUGACCUGUGGCUGGGGGUGAAAGGCCAAUCAAACCGGGAGAUAGCUGGUUCUCCCCGAAAGCUAUUUAGGUAGCGCCUCGUGAAUUCAUCUCCGGGGGUAGAGCACUGUUUCGGCUAGGGGGCCAUCCCGGCUUACCAACCCGAUGCAAACUGCGAAUACCGGAGAAUGUUAUCACGGGAGACACACGGCGGGUGCUAACGUCCGUCGUGAAGAGGGAAACAACCCAGACCGCCAGCUAAGGUCCCAAAGUCAUGGUUAAGUGGGAAACGAUGUGGGAAGGCCCAGACAGCCAGGAUGUUGGCUUAGAAGCAGCCAUCAUUUAAAGAAAGCGUAAUAGCUCACUGGUCGAGUCGGCCUGCGCGGAAGAUGUAACGGGGCUAAACCAUGCACCGAAGCUGCGGCAGCGA